rnacentral:rRNA from 1 species
AUUGAACGCUAGCGGGAUGCUUUACACAUGCAAGUCGAACGGCAGCGCGAAGAAAGCUUGCUUUCUUUGACGGCGAGUGGCGGACGGGUGAGUAAUGCAUCGGAAUGUGCCCAGUAGCGGGGGAUAACUACUCGAAAGAGUGGCUAAUACCGCAUAUUCUCUACGGAGGAAAGAGGGGGAUCUUCGGACCUCUCACUACUGGAGCAGCCGAUGUCAGAUUAGCUAGUUGGUGGGGUAAAGGCCUACCAAGGCAAUGAUCUGUAGCUGGUUUGAGAGGACGACCAGCCACACUGGGACUGAGACACGGCCCAG